rnacentral:tRNA from 1 species
GCACUGGUGGUUCAGUGGUAGAAUUCUCGCCUGCCACGCGGGAGGCCCGGGUUUCCUUCCCGGCAGUGCA